rnacentral:rRNA from 1 species
UACGGAGGGUGCAAGCGUUAAUCGGAAUUACUGGCGUAAGCGCACGCAGGCGGUCUCGUCAAGUCAGUGGUGAAAGCCCGGAGCUCAACUCCGGAACUGCCAUUGAAACUGUAAGACUUGAGGACGAGAGAGGUGAGUGGAAUUCCCAGUGUAGAGGUGAAAUUCGUAGAUAUUGGGAAGAACACCGGUGGCGAAGGCGGCUCACUGGCUCGUAUCUGACGCUCAGGCGCGACAGCGUGGGGAUCAAACAGG